UACAUCCAAAUGGAUAGCAGCAUUUCUCUGACUGCGUUCAAACCAAAUGCUGUAAAGCGUUUUGAGCGAUAAACGCCCAUUCACUUUCUAUAAGACAUGAGCGAUAAAGCAAUAGGAGCGAUACAUCGCUUGAGCUUAGGCUGUAAAGCUGUAAAUGAGAGUUGAAAACGGCUCACUUCUAUGCAAAUUAGCUUGUAGCAUUUCGGCAGUAAACAUAGGGACUCUCUAAAUCGACGCCACUUCGACCUGGGCGGGACUUUACGUACUACGUCACUCGCUAUGGGUCACUCGCUGGGAGUGCAUGUGUGCGCGUAGCCGUUUGUCUCAGGGAUCUGUGCACGAACGCGAUGGGGGAUCCACCCUGGGUACCGUCGUAUUUUAAAAUAAUAAAUACAAGCAAUGGAUACAUUUCUGGAUUUGUCCAGACUCAAAAAGAAUUGGAGAGUCUGCUGGAGGUCCACUCAAGGGCCACACUGACAUCGUUUGUCAAAUGGUCUGAACACAUAAAAGAUGGCACCAAAGAGAGGCAUCUAUGGCAGGUGGAGGAUUUCAAUGAAGACACCCCUCUAUGUGUGAAGAAAAGAAUGGUCCUUGCUUGUCAGCAUGGCAAAGCUCGACAGAAAAAAGAAAAGGAGAAACGUUCAGCAGAGCAUGUAUACACAAAAAAACGUUUUCAUGUCCAAAAUGGGAAGAAGUUGGACUGCCCAGCUAAACUUUUCAUUCGGCAUGUGCUGAGAUAUGACUCAUUCAGUGUGAGAGGGGAUGCCACAAAAUCCCAUAAAGAAGACGCUAUGAGAAAUCUUAAGAUAGCACUUCAAAACUCAGAAAACCCACCAACCUCUACAUUCAUUCAUCUAAAAAUUCCUCUAUUGGAAGUUCACAAUCAUACAAUUGGAGCAGGAUCCUGUUUUUCAAGACCGAUCCAUCCAAAACUAAAAAAUCAAAUUCAGGUGAUGGUCGGACAAGGGAUAACUAAUAUAGCUUUCGUGAAGAGAGCCUUGAAGCAGUAUGUGCUAAAUGACUUGUGUGGAGAGGAGAUCCUGGAUGGAGGAGGGGAGAGGAUGCUAGAUGGAGGAGGAGGGGAGAGGAUGCUAGAUGGAGGAGGAGGAGAGAGGAUGCUAGAUGGAGGAG